AUUGAACGCUGGCGGCAUGCCUUACACAUGCAAGUCGAACGGCAGCAUGGAAGAGCUUGCUCUUCUGAUGGCGAGUGGCGGACGGGUGAGUAAAGCAUCGGAACGUACCGUGUAGUGGGGGAUAACGUAGCGAAAGUUACGCUAAUACCGCAUACGCACUGAGGUGGAAAGCAGGGGAUCGCAAGACCUUGCGCCAUACGACCGGCCGAUGUCGGAUUAGCUAGUUGGUAGGGUAAAGGCCUACCAAGGCGACGAUCUGUAGCGGGUCUGAGAGGAUGAUCCGCCACACUGGGACUGAGACACGGCCCAGACUCCUACGGGAGGCAGCAGUGGGGAAUUUUGGACAAUGGGCGAAAGCCUGAUCCAGCCAUGCCGCGUGAGUGAAGAAGGCCUUCGGGUUGUAAAGCUCUUUCGGCUGGGAAGAAAUCGCACAGGCUAAUACUCUGUGUGGAUGACGGUACCAGCACAAGAAGCACCGGCUAACUACGUGCCAGCCGCCGCAGUAA
rnacentral:rRNA from 1 species